rnacentral:rRNA from 1 species
UACAGAGACUGCAAGCGUUAUUCGGAUUCACUGGGCGUAAAGGGUGCGCAGGCGGCCGAGUGUGUGAGGCGUGAAAGCCCGGGGCUUAACCCCGGAAUUGCACCUCAAACUACACGGCUAGAGCAUUGGAGAGGGUAGCAGAAUCCAUGGUGUAGCAGUGAAAUGCGUAGAUAUCAUGAGGAAUACCAGAGGCGAAGGCGGCUACCUGGACAAUUGCUGACGCUCAGGCACGAAAGCGUGGGGAGCAAACAGG